rnacentral:RNase_P_RNA from 1 species
GAAGCUGACCAGACAGUCGCCGCUUCGUCGUCGUCCUCCUUCGGGGGGAGACGGGCGGAGGGGAGGAAAGUCCGGGCUCCAUAGGGCAAGGUGCCAGGUAACGCCUGGGGGGUGUCACAGCCCACGACCAGUGCAACAGAGAGCAAACCGCCGAUGGCCCGCGCAAGCGGGAUCAGGUAAGGGUGAAAGGGUGCGGUAAGAGCGCACCGCGCGGCUGGUAACAGUCCGCGGCAUGGUAAACUCCACCCGGAGCAAGGCCAAAUAGGGGUUCAUAAGGUACGGCCCGUACUGAACCCGGGUAGGCUGCUUGAGCCAGUGAGCGAUUGCUGGCCUAGAUGAAUGACUGUCCACGACAGAACCCGGCUUAUCGGUCAGUUUCACCU